rnacentral:tRNA from 1 species
UCCCUGGUGGUCCAGUGGUUAGGACUCCAUGCUUCCAAUACAGAGGCCUGAGUUCAAUCCCUGGUCAGGGAA